UUAAUUCUUUAUUUACAGGAAAAAAGAAAUUGGUGGUGACAGAACGAGAGAACAAACCAGUGAGGGUAGCAUCCCCUUCCCAUUUCAACUUUAGCAAGCAACAGAAAUCUGCACUCUGGUUAUGGUACCUAUAUCAGUCAGGAAGUGUGUGAAAACUAGAACCACUCUGCACUCGAAGCUCCCAUCCUUAGAACAUAGUGGCUAGACACUCGUUAAGAUAGAACUUGAAACUUAUAGAAGACAAAAGCCCCUACAACGGCUUCUUGUCCAGAGACACAAGCAUUCUUUGUUUACAAUAAAGUCAGUUCAUUUUUUAAAGAUAGCUCUUGAACAAGCUCUCAGUGAUAAAAAAACUUAUCCCUCUGGCUUUUGUGAGAAAAAUAUGGAAGUGAACUAUCAAGCACAGCAAUUCUUAGGGUUCCUGCAGAUGGUGCCUCGUGGCAAGUAGAAUUAUUUAAGGAUCGUGAUGAUAUUUGCUUGCAACAUGGUUGGCCGGAAUUUGCUGAAGGGUACUCUAUGAGACAUGGGCACUUAAUGCUUUUUGAGUCCAAGGGGAAUUCACAGUUUUCUAUAGUCAUAUUUGACAAAACUGCUACAGAAAUUGAUUAUUCACUUUGUAUAACCCAUCAUAUAGGGCCUAAUCAAGACUUCAAAUUUAAGGAACCCACUGAAGAUGUCCCUAUUGAAGCAUUGAUGUCAAUUCUCCUAAACCCACAAAGAGAGGAAAAUCACAAUCAUCUUGUUCUCCACCUCGUAAGAGGAUGAAAAUUGAUGUAAUUGGAAAUUCUCAAAGACCAUCAAAACCACUGAACGUGAUCCCACAAAACAAACCUCAAGUAAGGAAAGAGAAAUCUGAAAGAAAGGCCACUUUAGGCCGUUCCAGACAAAAAUUUGAUGAUAUAUGUAUAAUUUCCAUAAUUUUCUGUCUAUAUAUUUAACUUUUGAUCUAAUCUUGUAAGCUCUUUCGGGAGAUUUGGGUAAUAACGAUAAUUUCUUGAAAAGAUUUGGACUUUUUCUGUCA